CAGUUGCCAACUAUUACAUUAUACAAUAAGUAGAAAGGAAGAAAGAUGAGAUAAAGAUUCUAGGAAUUAGAAAAUCCAAUUAUUGUUUGGAUUCUAAACACUAUAUCUGUGCCCUUGGAAAUGAUGGAGUAACUGGGGGAAUGUAAAUGAAGUACACAGUUGAAUUCCAGAGAAAAUACACGCAUGUGGGACCUUCGCUCCCCAACCAGGGAUCGAACCUGCGUCCCCUGCAUUGGAAGUGUGGAGUCUUAACCACUGGACAGCCAGGGAAGUCCCACCUUGGGGAUGCUUCUGAUCUUUGCCUCAUACACUUUAUGG